rnacentral:rRNA from 1 species
CCUACGGGGUGCAGCAGUCGAGAAUAAUUCACAAUGGGGGAAACCCUGAUGGUGCGACGCCGCGUGGGGGAAUGAAGGUCUUCGGAUUGUAAACCCCUGUCAUGUGGGAGCAAAUUAAAAAGAUAGUACCACAAGAGGAAGAGACGGCUAACUCUGUGCCAGCAGCCGCGGUAAUACAGAGGUCUCAAGCGUUGUUCGGAAUCACUGGGCGUAACGCGUGCGUAGGCUGUUUCGUAAGUCGUGUGUGAAAGGCGCGGGCUCAACCCGCGGACGGCACAUGAUACUGCGAGACUAGAGUAAUGGAGGGGGAACCGGAAUUCUCGGUGUAGCAGUGAAAUGCGUAGAUAGCGAGAGGAACACUCGUGGCGAAGGCGGGUUCCUGGACAUUAACUGACGCUGAGGCACGAAGGCCAGGGGAGCGAAAGGGAUUAGAUACCCGAGUAGUC